rnacentral:misc_RNA from 1 species
AAGUCGUAACAAGGUUUCCGUAGGUGAACCUGCGGAAGGAUCAUUACCAAAUCCAAAAACUUUAUCAACACCUUAAAAAGUGAACUGAGAAUGGUUUCGUUCCCGCCGAUCGUUUUUGUUUUUUCUUCUGCAAAGACGGAAAGCAAAAAGGAAAAGCGGGGAUGUUCUUUUUUUUCCAACCCCUUUUCAACCUUAUACAAUUCUUUUAUGCUGAAAGCAAAAACAAAAACGAAACAUGAGACAACUUUUAACGGUGGAUCUCUUGGCUCGU